GAGUUUGAUCAUGGCUCAGAACGUACGCUGGCGGCACGCCUAACACAUGCAAGUCGAACGCAGUAGCAAUACUGAGUGGCAAACGGGUGAGUAUAAUGUGGGAAUCUGCCUUUUGGUUUGGAAUAACACGGGGAAACUUGUGCUAAUACCGAAUAAGCCUUUACGGGGAAAGUUUUAACGCCGAAAGAUGAGCCUGCACUUGAUUAGCUAGUUGGUAAGGUAAAAGCUUACCAAGGCAACGAUCAAUAGCUGUUCUUAGAGGAAGACCAGCCACAUUGGGACUGAGACACGGCCCAGACUCCUACGGGAGGCAGCAGUGGGGAAUCUUGCACAAUGGGGGAAACCCUGAUGCAGCGAUGCCGCGUGAGUGAAGAAGGCCCUUGGGUUGUAAAACUCUUUCGUCGGGGAAGAAAAUGACUGUACCCGAAUAAGAAGGUCCGGCUAACUUCGUGCCAGCAGCCGCGGUAAUACGAAGGGACCUAGCGUAGUUCGGAAUUACUGGGCUUAAAGAGCUCGUAGGUGGUUAAAAAAGUUGAUGGUGAAAUCCCAAGGCUCAACCUUGGAACUGCCAUCAAAACUUUUUAGCUAGAGUGUGAUAGAGGUAAGUGGAAUUUCUAGUGUAGAGGUGAAAUUCGUAGAUAUUAGAAAGAACACCAAAUGCGAAGGCAACUUACUGGGUCACUACUGACACUGAGGAGCGAAAGCAUGGGUAGCGAAGAGGAUUAGAUACCCUCGUAGUCCAUGCCGUAAACGAUGUGUGCUAGACGUUGGAAAUAUAUUUUUCAGUGUCGCAGCGAAAGCAUUAAGCACACCGGCCUGGGGCAGUACGACCGCAAGGUUAAAACUCAAUGAAUUGACGGGGACCCGCACAAGCAGUGGAGCAUGUGGUUUAAUUCGAAGAUACGCGCAGAACCCUUACCACACUUGACAUGUUCGUCGCGAANUAAGAGAUUAGUUUUUUUCAGUUCGGCUGGACGAA
rnacentral:rRNA from 1 species